rnacentral:misc_RNA from 1 species
GAUGAAGAACGUAGCGAAAUGCGAUACGUAAUGUGAAUUGCAGAAUUCAGUGAAUCAUCGAAUCUUUGAACGCAUAUUGCGCUCUCUGGUAUUCCGGAGAGCAUGCUUGUUUGAGUAUCAGUAAACACCUCAACUCCCUUUUCUUUUUUGAAAUUGGAGCUGGACUUGAGUGAUCCCAACGCUUUCUUCCAAGAAAGUGGCGGGUUGCUUGAAAUGCAGGUGCAGCUGAACUUUUCUCUGAGCUAUAAGCAUAUCUAUUUAGUCUGCCUAAAAAACAGAUUAUUACCCUUGCUGCAGCUAACAUAAAGGAGACUAGUUCUUGUGCUGACUGAUGCAGGAUUCACAGAGACAGCUUCGGCUGACUUUGUAAACUCGAUCUCAAAUCAAGUAAGACUACCCGCUGAACUUAAGCAUAUCAAUAAGCGGAGGA